rnacentral:ncRNA from 1 species
GUGGGUGCCGAAAGGCUGAGAUCGCUCGCAAGAGGAAACCAUUGAACCUGAUACGGGUAAUGCCGGCGUAGGGAGAUUGUGAU